UGUGCCAGUGCUUGCCUGGUUAUGAAGGAAACCCGUACCACCCAGAUGGUUGCACAGGUGACGAUUAUCUUUGAUUUACCUAUUCAGCUACUAUUAUAUCAAUAUAAAUUAAUUAAAGCUCUCGCCAUUGGAAGUGCAAGUUUACCAAAUUUAGUGAUGUCUGAUAGGCUUUUCCUUUCCUAAUUUCCCUUUCAGAUAUUGAUGAGUGCAAAGACCCAAACCUCUGCCAGAAAGGACAAUGCUUGAAUCUUCUACCUCCACAAAAUUACACUUGUUCAUCAUGUCACAAAGGAUACAAACACGACGGCACCAAUGACAAGAGUUGCAUCAAAGACGAUCUCGAAAGAAGCUCAAAGAUCGUUCUCCUGCUUAUUGUUUCAUUGGGUAUGUAUAUUUACAUAUUAUCAUGCAUGUGCACCCUAAACUUCUGUUGAAAAGUAAUGACGGACUGAAAUCUAUUUAGCUUCAGGCCUUCAGCUACGUACUUUAUCUCCAAAUUAUAAUAACCUCGUUUUCUCAUACUUUUUCUUCAAAAAAAAGUAACACAGAGAGAAUGCACAAGUCAUUUCCAUAUUUAAGGGAAGUUUUUUUUCUAUUGUUUGUUAAACGAGAGGGAACAGGUGCGCAAAUUGAAGAUUUUUUUUCUUUUUAUUCAUUUUUGUAGAGAAGGUCUUGCAUCUAGAAUCAAAAUCAAGGAAACUGCUACAAUGAGUUAAGGGGAAGAUCCUAGGGAAUCAGAACUAGAAUAAAAGGACAACAUAAUAGCACAGAAAAAAAAACCACCACCCUGUACCUCUGAAUAAGAUCAUAGAGAAUAUGCAAAAGCAAACUUAUAAGAAUAAAUUUGAUGAUGAAUUUUCAACUAUUUGUAGGUGUAAGUAUGGGCUUGUUGGUUUUUUUCCUUGGGAUUUCGUGGAUAUGUUGGGGAAUGAAGAAAAGAGAGUUCAUUAAGCAGAAGGAAAAGUACUUCAAAGAGAAUGGUGGCUUAUUGUUACUGCAACAACUCGCCAGUGAUAAUGGAAGCUCGAUGAAGACAACAAAAAUCUUUACCGCUGAUGAACUUGAGAGGGCAACAAACAACUACCAUGAGAGUAGAAUCCUUGGAGAAGGAGGUAAUGGAACAGUUUACAAAGGAAUACUACCGGAUGACACAGUGGUUGCCAUAAAGAAGUCGAAAGGUACUAGUGCCAUGACCCAGAGUGAUCAAUUUGUUAACGAAGUGAUUAUCCUUUCUCAAAUUAACCACAUAAAUGUGGUGAAGCUAUUAGGUUGCUGUUUCGAAACAGAAGUUCCUUUACUAGUAUACGAAUUCAUUACCCAUGGCACUCUUUAUGAGCACAUUCAUAAAAGAAGAUCACCUCUCCCUUUUGAAUUACGAAUGAAGAUAGCAACUCAAAGCGCAGAAGCAUUGUCUCACUUACACUCGUCAAUUUCCACACCAAUCAUACAUCGAGAUGUGAAAACGGCAAAUAUUCUGUUAGCUAAUGAUUACACGGCGAAAGUGUCAGAUUUCGGAGCUUCCCGUUUGGUUCAUUCAGGAACUGAUAUGCAAACUUUGGUGCUCGGGACAUUUGGAUACCUAGACCCUGAAUAUCUGCAAUCAAACCAGCUAACAGAAAAGAGUGACGUUUACAGCUUUGGAGUUGUCCUAGUGGAACUAAUAACAAGCAAAGUUCCACUUUCUAAAGAUAGAUGCUUAGCAAGCAUCUUUGUGGUUUCCAUGGAAGAAGAUUGGUUGGAUCAAAUUCUUGACGAUGAUAUAGUGAACGAUGGAAACAUUGAGACGGUAAAGAAAGUGGCCCAUCUCGCAAAGCGAUGCUUGAUGGUAAAAGGGGAGGAAAGGCCUACCAUGAAAGAAGUUGCGAAAGAGCUCGAGGAAAUAAUGAGUGUCACAGCAAAACAUCCGUGGGGAUUUAAUGCUAGUUUCUACCGAGAAGAGACUGAGUACUUGCUCGGGUCACUCAAUUCAGACGGUUACGUCGUUGGUGUUGGGGAUGAUUGCAGUUCUAGUGGUCUAACCAGUGGUACGGCCAAUGCAUAUGACAGCAUGCAAAAACAACUGCAGUUGAUGCCAUAUGGCGGUGGACGUUAGUUGGAUCGGUGUCGCUUGUAUGUAUUUUAGUAUGGUUGUUUCUGUCAGAUAAGUGCGUUUUCACAUUUUGCAAUUGUUGUAUGUAAGUAAUCAAGUGUGGUCUUACAGUCUUACUGGUGUUCUUUUGCUGCUAUUGUGCACACUUAGCAAGCAACUGGAUUUGCCUUAUCUAUGAGGUUAAGGCCUUUGCCUUUCACACGUCUACUAGUUGAGGAGACAUGUAUAUUACAUAAUAUGCAAACUAGGUAGAUAUGUAUUACACUAGUUGAAUUUGCAUGCCGUCACUAGUUUUCGCUUGGAACAUUUCCACCAGUCAUGUCAUAUUCAUAUAUACAAACCACUAAGGAUAGUGGGGUGGAAAACUCUGUCUUGGCUAACCUCCAGGUCUGGAGUUCGAAUCCCCAUGAAAGCAAAGUGGCUAGGCACUAUGCUGCAAUGCAUAGUUGGAGCAUUUCACAUGCGCCGGCGGAUUAGUCCUUAGGCCUACGAAGUCUUUGGGAUACCGUGACUUGAUCAAAAAAAAAAAAAUAUUCAUAUAUACUGCAAAUUUGAAAAUUUCCACCAGACAAAUCGUAUUGCAAAAAGAAAUUGUUUAAUUCCAUUUAGAUUACUUGGCACCUUGACGACUUCAUCUUCAAAAACUUCUAGUCUCCUACCUCAACUUGUCACCGUGGUCAUCAACUGUAACGGAAAACGAACUGUCACAUUGACAUAGCAUAGAAUAUUUAGUUAGUUGCAUAAAAUUAUCAAUGAAAAUGGAAGUUGUGCCCCGUCAGUUAAUUUAGAGUGAUGUGGUGAAAAGAAUUCAAAAGCCAACUCUAGACCAAAAAUAAACUUUUACCACCUGAUCAGUAAACAAAUCACGUAUAGGCAGAAGGGUCCUGGCUUGGCAAAGGAGGCACAUCAAGCUUUCGUUUUCUUGAAACCGAUUGAUCUCAUAACUUGUGCUUGACUUUGAUAUAACAUCUCUUCUAUAUUAACUGCUUGCAUCUAAACUAAAAGAUACCAACUUUUUGGGCUUACCAAGUGGCUUCGGGAAAUAAGAGAGACGACCAAGACAUUUUGAUUCGCUCACAACCUCUUCCAUUUGUCUACAAAAGCGAGCUUGCAAGCACAACUUCACUCAUAAGAAAUACAGUUUAUACAUUUAUACCUCUCAAUUUAAGUACCUGAAUCAAUUGGUGAAAGUAGAUUACCAAGUAUGCAAUUCAUACUGCUGGUGCUACUGGUUCUCCUCGCAUUUGCGGCCGCGGGCAAAGAAGCAGAAACAGCUGAAGCCCGCCCGCCUCAAGCCCUUCCUGGCUGCACUGACCACUGCGGCAAUCUCACCAUUCCAUAUCCCUUUGGCAUAGAGCCUGAUUGUUACAAGACAGAAGACUUUUAUGUCUAUUGUAACACAACCACUACACCCCCAACAGCAAUGUGGAACGAUGGUCCCAUUGCUAUUAACAACAUAUACCUGCCUGCGGGUGAGAUGCAAAUAACGCAGUACGUAGCCUAUGAGUGCUAUAACAGCCUGGGCGAGAAUGAUUACAACCAACCAUUGCUUGCCGUGCCUCCUUUCACCGUCUCUCAUACUAGAAACAAGUUCAUUGCCGUUGGUUGCGACACUUCUGCAGCUUUCAGAGGUUACCGUGCAGACGAACAGAGGUUAAUGACCGGAUGCAUGUCCAUAUGUGACAACCUUGACCGCAUUGAACAGUCUUGCUCCGGGGUUGGGUGUUGCCAAACUGACAUCCCCAGCGGACUUGAGAAUUACACUCUCACACUGGAAAGCUAUUAUAAUCACACAUACAUACUGGACUUCAAUCCAUGCAGCUAUGCCUUCAUUGUGGAAGAAGGCAAGUUCACCUAUUCCCCCGAAUACAAGUUUCCAAACACUACCCAACACCAAAGAGCUUCCCCUGAUUCUUGAUUGGGAAAUUGGGGAAGGCGCAUGUGAUGAAGCUGAACACAGAGAUGAUUAUGCAUGCAAGGCAAAUAGCAAGUGUGUCAAUCGGACCAUCAGUGAUGGGCUAUUCUAUAUAAUAAAACGAUAAGGAAAAAACCACUGUUCAUAUCUAUUCAGAAUUGUGCUAUUCCCCUGAAGUUUCGUGAAUUAUGUUUUGGCCCUAGAUUUGUUACUGAUUGCAAAACUGUCCUCACUGUGUUGCGUGUUAUUGUUGCUGCGUGGCCUCCUAUUUUCAUUCCACGAAGCUCUCUCGCUCUCUCCGAUCUCUCUGUCUCACGCAUGACGGCGGAAACGAAGAAAAAGGCCGACCGAUCCCGAUCAAAUCCGAGCCAGGGUGAAAGAACAUCGAUCUGGGUAAUUGGGUUUCAGUUUCGUUUUUUUUUUUUUUUUCUAAGAUUCUUCCAAUUGAUUUUUGUAUUAUUUCGAUCAAACCCGAGCCAAGGUGAAAAAAAAGGAUCUGGCCAUAUGUGUUUGGUUUUUGUAUGAUUGUUGUUUUGAAUCAAUAGGUAUUUCUUUUAUCUCAGAUUCUUCAAUGCAUGGAUGCUGUUGAUAUUUCCUGUGAUGCCUUCCUUGAGCCUUUCUUCCUCAAAAACAUUUGCACCGCCGACUGCUACGAGAAGUGCUCUAGAUAAAGGAUUUCGGGACGAUUUCGGGUUGAGGUAUUUGAGCUUCUUCCUUCUGCUUCGUUCGGUUUCCAUUUGUGUUUUUCAUUGUUGAUUUCAUAUUCCGCUUGCAGUUCAUGCUUCAUAGAAUUUACUAUGCUUCAUAGAAUGUAACAUCAAAUAUUUGGUGUGGUAUGUACCAAAAUAUGUAUGAAAAAAUGUAACAUCAAAUAUAUAUGCUCUAGCUGUAUGAUGUAUGAUAGAAUGUAACAUCAAAUAUUUUGUGUAGUAUAUACCACAGCUUCUAUGUUCUGUAAUGUGUAUUCUCUCUGUUUUUCAUUCUUAUCAUAUAGACAAUAUUAUCUGUUCGCUAAUCUAACCAACACGUAUCAGCAGCUCACGCCCACAUGUGACAACAUCAACUUCACAUAGCUGUAUAACCACAUGUCGACAUUAGCUCACAACAGCUUCUUUCAAUUAUCACCUAAGAACAUGACAAUACUUUGCCGUGUGAUCUUCCAUUUAUUUACCAUCACCUUCACCCACGUCUAUAUAAACCUGGAGACAAAUGAACCUGCAUAAUGAAGUGCUCUCCAUUUCUCUUCAUAUUUCUCCGAACAUUUUACACUACUAUAAAGAAAAAUAAUCUUUGUAACAUAUGCCUGGAGAUCAAUCAUUUGAACGAUUUUUUUUUCGCUGAUCUGUACUUAACGCAUCCUUGAAAAACUAAUUCUUCAAGUGGUUGUAUUUCCGGGCGACUGUUACCGUGGUAAUGUCUGCAGCCAUACAACCCAUGUAUGUCGAUCCAUGCAACACAAAUUCUACAGGACAAAUCAGGAAAAGCCUUCCUGAACAACCAUAUAAACAUUUCCUUUUUCUUUCUUUUUUCCUUUUUUUUUUGUACGACAAAUCGACAAUAUGAUCUGCAAACCUAGACAUGAAUUAGUUUGAUAGCAGUAAUUUCAACUCAAAUUCAGUUUUUAAUUAAUGGAAUGUUUAAUAUUCUGUUUGCAUUUACAUAUCAGACAACUGUAUUGGGAUGGAUUAAGCUUAGGAUUGAAGAGUUGGUUUAUAACUUCGCAAUAGCUUUAUUUGUUAAUGUCCUGAUAUUGAUGCACAAACAUAUAAUUGGUCGAAGUUUCAACAUCUGUUGCUAUACAUGGUUAAUGUAAUUGUCAGAUUUGUACAUAGGCUUCUCUUUUUACCUUUUUUUAUACUCUGUUGUGGUUUCUAAUGGGAAGUUUGAGACCGCUUUUCUAAUUUUGGUUUGUCUUGCAUGUUGGUUAUGCAUGAGAUUGAUUGUGGCUAUUUUGUGAAGGUUUUGUGAUAGAUUCCAGAUUUUGGCUUUGAAAUUGUAUGCGUAGCUCCAAUUCUUAGACUAUAUUUCAUACUACUAUAUUAGAAAUAUUUGAAAGAGAAGAAUCAAAUUAGUGUUUGAGGAAUCAAUAAUAAGGAGCCAAAGGGUGCCGACCAAAAACUGGGUUAGAUAUUUACUUAUCUAUAUUUUACUUGCAUGUUAAUGAUUUGGUUUAUAUUGAAUGCUGCCAAUGUAUUAGUAUUUUGGUAUUGCGUAGUUAUUAAUUGUAUAGGAUUGCAGUUUACUACAAUGAAAACAAGGUGUGCCUGUCUAUUUGGUUAUUGUGUCUGUUUUAAGAUUUUAAUGUUUAUAGCAUUUUGAAAUAUAUUAUGUAUUUCAAUUUUAAUUUUUGAAAUUAGCUACGUUUUUUGGGUUAUUUCUUUUAAAUUUUGUUGAGCAUAUGAUUUUUGUUACAAUGGUGAUAGUUGCAGUCCUUUGAUUAUAAUUUAAGUUGAGUUGCUGCUAUCCUACCGUUACGGAAUCAGGGCCGUUGAGCUUUGUUACAAAUUAAUGAAAACAUCAGUAUCAAUUGUUUGAUUGGGGUUGAUAAUUUUUGUUCUGUUUUCAGUGUUGGUUCUUUCACUAUCUGCAAUCAAUCUCAUUCUCUCAAGUGCUUAUCGGUUCCUUUGGUUGGAUUAGCUGUUUAAGUUUUUUGGUUUGGUUUGCAUUUUGGUAAUCUUUUAGGUUUAAUCAAAUUGGGUGUCUGACUGUUUUGCAGACGUUUCUUUCUGUUUUUCCGGUGGUGAUCCCCAGUGUCAGGACAGGUAUUUACUUUAUCUUUUUUUUUACUUGCAAGUUAAUGGUUUGGUUUGUAUUGGAAAAGCUUUCAAUGUAUUAAUAUUUUUGGUUUUGGUGAGGUUUGUGGUGAGUACUUUUUAAUUUCGUAUUAUUUGAUGUGCCUAGCUGAAUGGUUAUGGGUGUGUCUGUUUUAGGAAUAUUGAUGUUUAGACAAGAUUUUAAUAUCUAUCACAUAUUUUAAUUUACACUUUGGAUGUCAUCUGGUCAUGCAUUUUGUUUUGGUGUUGUUUUAAUUACAUUUGGUAUCGCAAUUGACCAUACAAUGACAAAUUUUGCAUAAUGGUACAGGGAAAAAAGACAGAUAUUUUUUAUCUGUGUAUCAUACUUGAGUUUAAACAACAAACAAUGCAAAGGUAUAAUUGCAGUUGUCCACAUAAUAUAAAUUCUUCCAAAAUGGUGUAAAAAUGAGGAUGAAUGUUUGUUACGUAAUUUUAAAUAACAAACAAUGCAAAGGUUUACUGCAUCAAAAACUGAAGUUAAAUAGAUUGGCCAAUAAAGUAGAUGGAAUCUGACACCGGUCCAAUAUCUAAGACAUGUUUAUAAAUCGAUGUUACUGCAAGUGGAUUUUAGUUUGGAACUUUUUAUGUGUAUUACAAUAGUUUUUUUUUUGGGUUACCCAGCAGAACAAAGUAUUUGAUUGAGUGAGAGAUUGCGUAUGUUUGUUUUUAAAUUGACAGCUUCUAUAAUAUUCGCUUCUGGAUAUUCAGGGCCAAAAAAAAAUUAUAAUCAUGAUGAUAUUAAUAUAAUUUGGUACAUUGAAGUGUUAAAAAAAACCUGCUAUUGAUUUAGUGCAUUGGUUUGAUUUGGUGUGGGGAUACAAAUUCAUCUUGCAGCCUACUAGAUUUCAGGCAUUUGAGUUGUUUUGGUAGUUACAAUGGCAUCGCUUAAAAUAUAAUUUGGUAAAAGAAUGCAUGUUUUAACAUGGUGCUGUUAAUGUUAGUUCAGAUUGUUAUUCAGACAAGUGGUGAUGUGUGCUAUUAUUGGGCUCAUUGAUUUGAGAUUGUUUGAUGAUAUUGCCAUUUCAAUUCAGAUUGCGUUGAAUCUAGCUAUAAGUUCUUUGUUUAUUCUUUUUUUAAAUACUUUUUGGACAGUUGUUAAUCCAAUUUUUACUGUUCUGUAUUGUUGCCAUUGAUUUUUAUGAACUGUUAUUAUUUUAUUGAUGCAUUGUUAUUCAUGUGAAUAUUUGUUGGCACUACAGGUUAAGAGAAAACUUAAGGCUUUAUUACAAAAGUAAGGAUAAUUAUUUUGAUGGUUUGCUGUUAUGUCAUCAGACAUGUUUGUUGUACUUUACAUUUUGUGCGUUGCUUGAAUACUUAUUGUUCUAUUAUUUGGUGAUAUUGGAAAGUAAGAUGACUCGAAAGAAAAGAAUUCGGGAGGAAAAUUUGUCAGCUGCAUCGUCUGAACAACUUGGGUGCAGUGGUCCCUCCAUGAAUGCUUCUGUUAACAGUAGACCGGGUGGUGCCAAUGCAUCAAAUGAUUGUGCUGAGUCUUCGUCUACAAGAGGAAUCGAUGCUCUGAGUGUUGGACAAUCUAAUAUUGGGCAGGCGUUUUAUUAGAGAAGAAGAAAAACAAAAGGUUUGUGUUUGGGGUGCUUUGUUUAUUUAUGUGGUUAUCUGAAUUGAAUUUGUAUGACUUCUGUUUAAGAUGGUGUGCUGUUUUGUUUCUAGGUAUAUCGUCUGCAUAUGUAGAUGUCGGAGAUAUGACAAACGUUUGUGUUGAUUGUCAUGCAUUGUUUUGGUUGCAAGAGUCAAAAUUUAUUCCAAGGAAUGGAAGUCCGGUCUAUACAGGCUGCUGCCAGGAAGGUCGGAUUAGGCUCCCGCCUGUUAGACCUGCUCCAGUUUUUUUAGAAUACUUGCUUGAUUCCACUAAUGGUCAAAAGAGUGUGCAGUUUAGAAACAAUAUUCGGAGUUAUAAUACCAUGUUUGCAUUUACUUCAAUGGGAGCUAAUGUAGAUAAGACGGUGACUGAUGGUCAUGGUCCUUAUGUUUUUAAAAUUAGUGGACAGGUAUACCAUCUUAUGGGUUCACUUAUUCCUCCAGAAGGUAAGUGCCCUAAGUUUGCACAAUUGUACAUUUAUGAUACUGAGAAUGAAGUUGCAAAUCGACAAAAAGCUGUUGACGGUUUAGACUCGGAAAUUGUUACUAGAUUGAUUGAUAUGCUUGAUGAAAGCAAUGAAUUGGUUCAGUAUUUUCGUUCUGUUCGAAAUAAGUAUAAUGAAAGAUCUCUGCGUUGUUUAAACUUGACACUUCUUGACAAUGAAAGAAUAAAAGAUAGGGAAUACGAUGUGCCAAGUAGUAGUGAAGUUGCUGGCUUGAUUGUUGGUGACAUUGGGUUGUAUGAAGCUGAUAGGGAUGUAGUUGUCGAUACAUUUGAAAAUGGUUUGCAGCGGAUAUCAAGAUUACAUCCAAAAUUCAUGUCAUUUCAAUACCCAUUACUCUUCCCUUAUGGGGAGGAUGGAUAUCAUGUUGGUUUGAAAUUAUGCGCACGCAAAGAUAAUGAGAAUCGCAAGCGAGAAAGGAUGUCCAUGUGUGAUUUUAUGUCAUACCAAAUACAUGAGCGUGCAAAUGAAUCUUCCACUUUGCUGAAAGGAGGCCGACUUUUUCAACAGUUUUUGGUUGAUGCCUAUGCAAAUGUUGAAGAAAACCGUUUGUUUUAUAUUAGAAAAAAUCAACCCGAUAUUAGGAGCGAGACUUAUGUGGGCAUAUGUGAUGCUUCAAUAAGAGAACAUGAUGGUGAAAAUGUAGGCAAACGAAUUAUUUUACCAAGCACUCAUACAGGAAGUCCGCGGUAUAUGAACAAACAUUACCAUGAUGCUAUGGCUUUGUGUCGGAAGUAUGGCCCCCCUGAUUUGUUCAUAACACUUACUUGCAAUCCAAAAUGGCCUGAAAUUGAAAGAGCAUUGUUGAACAAACAUGGUAGCAAACCUGAGGAUCGCCCAGAUAUUGUUGCAAGAAUUUUUAAGAUGAAACAUGAUGAUCUUAUUAGUUACGUUAAAUCUGGCAAGCCAUUUGGGAAGGCUAUUGCAGGUAAGUACCUUUGUUUACAGCGUCCCCCCUUUCCCUUUUUCCGAUUUAAAACAUUAUGAUAUUUAAUUUUGAUGUUUUUAUUAAUCUCAUUGGUAUACAAUGUAAUAUGCAGAUGUUGCGACAAUUGAGUUCCAAAAACGGGGAUUACCUCACUCUCACAUGUUAUUUUGGUUGGCUGAGAAUAACAAGUGUUAUUCGGCUGUUGACAUUGAUUCAAUAAUCUUUGCUGAACUACCUGAUAAGAAGGUCAAUCCAACUUUAUAUGAUAUUGUGAAUCAAUUUAUGAUCCAUGGUCCAUGUGGUGUGCUGAAUCCUAAAGCUCCAUGUAUGAAAGAAAAUAACUGCAAGAAAUCAUUUCCGAAAGAAUACAUGGAAAACACAUUGUUUGCAGCUAAUGCAUUUCCCAUGUAUAUGCGUCGUGAUGAUGAUUCUAAAUUUGUCAUGAAAAAUAAUGUGACAGUAGACAACCGCUUUGUUGUUCCUUACAAUGCUGAACUUUUGUUAAGAUAUAAUGCGCAUAUAAAUGUUGAAUCAUGUUCUCAGUCAACCUUGAUAAAAUAUCUGUUCAAGUAUAUAAGCAAAGGUCCUGACCGAGCAAGAGUUGGUAUUCACUCUGAUUUAAAUGAUGAAAUUGCAGCGUAUUUAAACUGCAGAUAUAUAUCUCCACCUGAAGCUGCAUGGAGAUUGCUUGAAUAUCCAAUUCAUUCUCGGCACCCACCUGUUGAAUUGUUAAAGAUACAUUUACCAGGACAACAAACCAUUGUUUUUGGUCAAAAUCAACCGUUAACCUCAGUCAUUGCAAGACAAGGAUCAGACGAUACUAUGCUCACAUCAUGGUUUCAUGCAAAUACAAACGCGGAGACAAAGCAUAUAGCAAAUAUGUUGACAUUUGCAGAGUUUCCUUCUGCCUUUGAGUGGAAUAAUGGUACAAAAACUUGGACACCACGACAACGAGGCUAUGCAAUAGGUAGAUUGCCAAAUAUAAGUCCGACGAGCGGUGAGUUAUAUUAUUUGCGCCUACUUUUGAACACACGUAAAGGCUGCACAAAUUUUAAAUCUAUUCGGACAAUAUGUGGUGUUGUGUAUUCUACGUAUCAAGAAGCAUGCCGUGCACUCGGGUUACUAGGUGAUGAUAAAGAGUGGAGUGAUGCUAUAACUGAGGUUGUACCAACAGCAAUGUCAUAUCAAUUGCGCCAUCUAUUUGUUACAAUUUUGUUGUACUGUGAUGUUUCAAAUCCGUGUCAACUUUUUGAAACACAUUGGCGUAAUAUGUGUGAUGAUAUUAUAUACAAUGUCCGUUCUGAUUUUAUGAUGCCACACCUAAACAUAUCUGAACGAGAGUUACGAAAUUCUUUGUUGUUUGAGUUAGAGCUACUUUUUGGUAAUGCUAAUUCAUCGUUAGCGAAGUACCAUUUACCAUUGCCAGAUAAGGAAAAAAUGUUCGAGUUGAAAAACAGGCAAUUGAGAGAGGAAUUAAAUUAUGAUUGUGUCGCUUUACAAAAAGAGUACCGAUCUUUAGUAGCAGAAUUAAAUGAUAGCCAGAGAAGAAUAUUUGAGAAUGUGAUUAAUGUUGUUAAUAACAAAAGUACUGGCCUUUUUUUGUUUAUGGUCAUGGAGGCACAGGGAAAACAUUUUUAUGGCACACCAUUAUUAGUAAGCUAAGAUCGGAAGAGAAGAUUGUGUUAGCAGUCGCUUCCUCUGGAAUUGCGUCAUUGUUAUUACCAAACGGGAGAACUGCUCAUUCCAGAUUCAAGAUACCAAUUGACCUUACUGAUGGUAAGGUCUCUUCAAUAACAAAGGGAACACAUCUUGCUAAAUUGGUUGAAAAAACGGAUUUAAUUAUUUGGGAUGAAGCACCGAUGACUAAUAAGUGUUGUUUUGAAUCUUUAGACACUUCACUUAGGGACAUAUUAUCGUAUCGUUUUACACCGGGAACCGUCCCGCCAUUUGGUGGUAUGCCUAUUGUACUUGGUGGAGAUUUUAGGCAAAUAUUACCAGUUGUAAUUGAUGGGAAAAAGUCUACGGUAAUUGAUGCAUCAUUAAAUAGUUCUUUGUUGUGGCCAUUGUUUAAGAUCUUUUACUUGACAGAGAAUAUGAGACUGCGAAAAAAGGAAAUAAGUGAAGAGGAAAAACAACAAAUAUCAGAGUUUGCAGAAUGGUUGUUAAAUGUCGGUGAUGGAAAUAUAUGUGGCAUAGAUGAUGAUUGUGAUAGAGAUUCAAGCUGGAUAGAAAUACCGUCUAAUAUGUUAAUUGAUAACACAAGUGAUCCAAUUCGUUCUAUAUUUCAUGCUACAUACCCAGAUUUUCUCAAAAACUACAACUGUUUCGAUUAUAUUAGAGAACGUGCAAUUAUUACACCUAAAAAUGUUGAUGUGACUGGCAUAAACAAUUAUGCAAUAGAUUUACUGCCUGGUCAUACAGUAACCUAUUUAAGUUGUGAUUCUAUAUGCUUGACAAAUGAUAAUGCCGACAAUUUAAGCUCAUCAUAUCCACCAGAAUUGUUGAAUAGUAUUGAAAUCAGCGGAUUGCCAUCACAUAAAUUAGUUUUGAAAAAAGGAAUGCCUGUUAUGCUACUUAGAAAUUUAAACCAAACAAAUGGUUUGUGCAAUGGGACAAGAUUGAUUAUCACAAAUUUAUUUGACAAGAUUAUUGAAGCUAGGGUGUUAACUGGAACUCAUGUGAAUGAGAAAGUUUUUUUGCCAAGAAUUGUAAUGUCUUCUUCUAACCAGAAAUGGCCAUUUAUAUUGAGGAGGAGGCAAUUUCCGAUUAAAGCAUGUUAUGGAAUGACGAUAAAUAAAAGCCAGGGCCAAUCAUUAAAACAAGUUGGUUUAUAUUUGCCUCAGCCUGUUUUUAGUCAUGGACAAUUGUAUGUUGUUUUAUCUAGAGUAACCUCAAGAGAAGGAAUUAAAAUUAUGAUUUUAAACGAAGACAUACCAAAUACGUAUACAAAGAAUAUUGUGUAUAAAGAUGUGUUGAAAAAUUUACAGUCGCAUUCCGACUAAUAUUGUGUAAAAUGUCCAUACAUGAAACCCGGUUGAUGAUUACAAAUAUAUAUGUCAAUGUCAUUGAGGCACAAGUUUUGACCGGAACACAUGUUCAUAACAAAUUUUAUUUACCACGAACUGUACUGUCUGCAUCAAAACACAGAUGACCUUUUGUUUUAAAAAGAUGCCGAUUUCCAAUAACACUGUUAUGGAAUGGCAAUAAAUAGAAGUCAGAACCAAUCAUUAAAACAAGUUAAGUUAUACAUGUCGCAACUAUUUUUCACUCAUAGACAAUUGUAUAUAGCUCUCUCAAGAGUAACAUUGAGAAAAGGAAUUUACAAAAAAAAAAAAAAAAAAAGAAUAUACCAGAAAAAAAAUACUAAAAAAUAAUGAAAACAAAAAUGUUUUGCAAAGUUUGAGACCAACUCUAAAGCUCAUCAUCAACCGAUACCUCCACCAAUUAGUCCUUCUAUCUUCAGCAAAACAAUGAAUAAAAAUUUGCAGGCCAACAUCAACAAGCCAAAAACCAAACCUUCAGUAAAUAAAAAAAACGGAAGGCAAAGGUAAACAAGGGUAUAAUUGUCAAUUCUAAACAAGCCCUAUGUGUAUAUAACUAUACAGCUCUAUGUAGAAGCAGCCGACUCAGAUCUUUCACUUUCAGAUUUGGUUAUAUCUCUAACCUGCACAUCUAUUUUCUACUUAGCAGUGAUCCAACCUACAAAUCCAACCUACAAACUGAAGACAGGUAUUUUGUUUCUCUGUGCUUGCAUAAACGAUCAAAACUACACAGAUUGCUUUAUUCAAUUAUGCAUAUCUUAUUUGAUACUCUUAGAUAAAAAACAAAUUCAGUUGUUUUGGUUGACAUACUUUCAAAAGUGUAAAUCCUCUCUUCUAUGCAACCCAACAACCAUAAAAUGUCUCUUUUAAGUCUAAUCACAAUUUCAUUCUUAGUAUAUUACACUGUCGCUGUCGAUGAUUCCCAUCUUUUUUUUUCCCCCAAAACAGAUCUGCUUUUGCACCAUGUCGACUACCCGAAUUCGUGACAUUAGUCCUGGAACGGGUGGCAUGAAGAUAAAGGUUCGAGUAUCCCGAAUGUGGAGAGGAAAAGUUCUCAAGCCUGUCCAACGAUAUGAUGGCUUGGGAUGCGUGUUAGUCGACCAAUAUGUAAUUGUUAUAAUAGUUGAAUCAUUUUUAACAAGCACCGAUUCAAACAUUUCUGAUCAUUGUCUAUAUGUUAUAUAAUUAUGAAAGAUACUUAUUAUAUCUAUCAAUUGUUACACAUACAGGGUGACUCCAUCCAUGCCGUGGUCAUGGAAGCUGACAUUGAAGAUGUCUUAAGCAAUAUGGCGGAAGGUCCUGUCUAUGAAAUAAGCAAAUUUAGGAUCAUGAAAAAUCAAGAGUCUCAUCAAGUUGUGCCACAUACAGCACAGCUGCAGUUUAACAAUAAAACUGUGUUCAAACUGAUGCGUGAAGAAUUCCCGGCAAUACCCAUACACUGCUUCAACCUACUGGACUACAGCGAACUUCCUGCACGUAACAAAAAAGACACUAUAUUGACAGGUACAAAUUCACAAUCAAGGUGUUCACUAAAUUUAUAUAAUAUGUACAUAACGUUCACAUUUUAUUCUAAUAUUUGAUUGUUAAUCAAACUUCAUACUUUCUAAACGUUGUCUUUUUGCUAAGUAGAUAUAAUUGGGCUUAUAAAGGAGAUGCAUCAAGUUGAAGACACUCCUGUCAAAGGACAAUUGGCAAAAACGCGGGAACUACGAAUACAGAACACAAGGUACCAAAUUGUGAAUAUUUAGGUUAUAAAUAUGUUGACUGUCUAAAGGUUUAAUACACAAUUUCAGUUAUUUGAUAUAUUCAUUUACACACAAUUCUACUGUUGUAUGCGUUUACUGUUUUCCCUAGGAAUGAAGAGCUGCAAGCAACACUUUGGGGAGAACUUGCACUUGACUUUGAUGCAGACAAGAUACUUCAGUCACCCCCGCCAGCUGUGAUAGUCAUUACGAGUUCAAAAGUGGCCACGUAUGCAAGUAAGAACAAAUGUCUUUUUUCUCGACGAGAUCACACUAUUUAUUAUUUCGAAUUGAAUUACUUCUAUUGUCUAUUCUUAGAGAAAAUAGUGGUCAACACAAGCUUGAACAGCUGUGUCUUCAUCAAUCCAAAUAUUCCUGAGUUACAGGAAUACAAAACAAGGUACACAUUUAAAGAUGAAAAUAUGGCCAUAAUUGACAUUCGGUAUUCAUUGUGUGCUAAUAUCAAAUUCUGUACACCUCAAUAAAAUUGUAGGUUCUCAGCCCGAACUAUGCCCCAAAAUUCAUACCAAGCUCAGGCCAAAGCACAAGUUCUUCUGUCACAGAAACAUCAAACAUAAUCAAUAUCGGCAACCUCAUCUUACAAGAUGCAGAUGAAAACAAGGUAACAACUUCUAAAAGGACAUAAUUUAUUUUUAAUUUUUAUUUUAUUUUUUCCUUUUGAAGCUCUAAAAAGACAUAAUGUUGUGCACCUGUUGUUAUGUAUAUUAAAAAAAUUACAACUAAUGUCAUAUGUGACUUCAAAAUGUCUAUAUCAACAUAGGAUUCCAUGUUCACCUGUCGAGCUAAAAUUACAAAAAUCAUCACUCGCGAAGGGUGGUACUACUUUGGUUGUCCAAUCUGUAGAGUGAAGCUACAAAUGGGAUCCGACUCUGUAUUGAAUAAAUGUCCAAACCAUGGAGAGCAAGCUGGAAAGCCAAAGUAAGCAAAAGAAAUUUUUUUGAUUAACUAAAUCUAUGAUACAUUUGUCUAAAUAACUCCACUGAUACUAAAAGUGUCUAUGUUGAUUUCACGGCCUUAUUCAUCUUGAAUAUCGCAUGCGUAAAUUUUUUUAUGAUGGUGUUACUAUUACAGGUACAAGAUGCAAAUUCGUCUCGAAGAUGAAGAUGAUUCAACUUUGGCCAUGCUCAUGGGCAAACCUGCAGAGAUACUAUUUAGAAAACCCUGUAGCCAAUUGAUAGAUGAAGGAAGUACAGAGAAAACUGUCAUCCCGAAAAUCAUCCUUGAUACAAUGCACAUAUACAAAAUCUGGAAGAUUGGGUUUGGUACAAGGAAAGAUUUCAUGGUUAGAGGUGUUUACCCUGACACUGAAAAGGUUGGCCAAGAGAUAGAAGAACCAAAGACAUCGGGGAAACUUCCCUUGAAGAGAAAAUCAUGGUCACCAAAAGAAAGCACUCUGCAUCAACUUUUGGAGUCCGACAAAAAAAAAAAAAAAGGUUUCAAUCUUUACUAUAGUGUCCAUCUAUUCUUUCUUAAUGUAGAUACUGAAAUAUUUAAUGACUUUUACAUCAUAAUUGACAGGGAAGCAGGAGGCAGUAGCAAGGACACAGCAAAACCAGAUUAAGUUAGACAUGAUAGCUCCAUUGUAAUAAUCUAACUAUGUUUUGGCUACCAACUUUUGCAAGGGCGAUGGUGUGUGGAAAAUGCCCUCUUUUGUUCAAAUGAUGUUCUAGCUUGCAACUGGAGCCAAUGUGAUCUGUACAGUCAAAUAGUUUUUGGUGUGUGUGUAUAUUAACAGCUUAAUCUACAACGUUGUAAUCGUUACAGGAAAAUGGCUUUUUGAUGUGAAAUAGUUGUGAUCUGUACAGUCAAAUAGCUUCUGGUGUGUGUGUAUAUUAACAGCCAAAUCUACAGACUUUUUGAUGUGAAAUAGUUUUUGGUGUGUCUCUAUAUAUGUAUAUCAGUUACCAAAUUAAAGGUGUUGUAAUUGCCUUAACUGAUCUUUAUAUCCACUUUACUAUUAUUUGUUUUCAAGUCGAAAUGUAUGUCAAUAUCUCACUUUAUUACAAUUAAUUUUGUUUCUUAGUAUUAAUAAUCAGAACAAAAACAUUUAAAGCAGUCAAUAACUGGUACCCGCAGCAACGCGCGGGCACAUACCUUGUAUGUCACAAAGGGCCAGUACUAGGGGUGACGCAAGUGCCUCCUGUCUCAAUGCAGGUUCAGUUGGGGGCAGGAGGAGGGGUCCCCGUAGUCGCAGUUCCUAUACGGCUCUCAAUGCUGCUCCGGGUGAAUUCCAUCAACCACUUGCCUCGGCUCUUAAUGCUGCUCCAGGUGAAUUGCAUCAACCAUCUGUGGCGGUUGGUGUUUUCGAGACGCCUGCUAUGGUCAGAAUGGUACGAAGAUCACAGAAUAGAAAUCAACCUGGACCAUAUUACGUCUAAACUCCACCUCGUUUUAGCACUAGUUCUAUAUACUAUAGCAGGAAGGCAAUAUAACUGUUUAUUCAGGUAGAGAAAUGACGGUGUUACCCCCGGUUUGCAGAAAAUUACAAAACUGCCACUGCAGCAUCUAUCUCCACAGCAAUACGUGAACACAUGAAAUGUCUGUUUUGCCCCUGCUUCGUAACUAAUCACAAAAUUGCCAUUAUCUGCUCUGUCUUGACAUCUGCUGUUUUUAUAUUGCUGUGUUGGACAUCUGUGAGUCUGGAUUGCUGCCAUGUGUCUUGGUCGUUGACGUCUGGCGUCGAUGGCUUCUUCUCCACGAUCGGUUCGAGUGUAUCGAGUGUUCAUUGACCAUCUUCUUUGUCGCUCUUUGUUGUGAGAGAGAGAUGGGUUAUUCGUGAAAUGAAAAUUUGUAUGGCUCUUCUCAAUCAAAUGGUCGAGGUAAUGAUAUUUGUUCUGUAUAUGAUCGAUUCUGGGUUUCUAUUUCGUUUGCCCUGAUCGUAUUUACCAUUGUUUUGAUACCGAUGCGUUCAUUCAAUUGUUAAACAGGUGUCUGGAUUGCGAUCCAUAUUCCUUAUGAAAAAAGGUAUUGUGUUGUUGUAUCCAUGAACAAUCAACUUAUUUUAUUAUGCCUCAUUCUUGGUGCAAUUACAUGUUAUUUCUGUUCAGUUCAUGUUCAAAUUUUGCUCAAAUUUCAUUAACAGAUUAUACUCUUGGAUCCUAAUUAAAAUUGAAAUUGAGGAGUUUGUCAAUUUUUUUUUUGGCUCUAUUUAAGGGUGUUGAAAGUCUUUGAUGGUUCCAUUUGAUGGUACAUUUGCAAGAACUGCAUGUAUUAACAAUUUGUAUGUUUCAGAUCUCGACUUCGCUAUUCUGGACUCUGGAGAUGAAUCAUUUUGCAUUGGUUGAUGGAAAGCCAUAUCCUUUCGAUAUGAGAGGUGAGUUGGAUGACACUGGUGCUUUCAAGAACUUCAGUAAGUACAUUCACUUUACGUUGUUAUUACCAUGAAUCAUGAGCAUAUGAGCUAACAAAUCCUUUGAAGUUUGAACUAUAUCAGGAAAAGUUUAAGUGUUUGACAAAUCAAAUGAUGGAGCUAAUAUAUUAGAGUAUUUGCAGAAGAUUUGUUCAGUGAUAUUGGGGAAUUUUUGAUUUUGCAGGCUGGAAUUUUGUGUAAUGCGUGCAUUGGUUCAAUUUUCAGGUAUGCAUUUUAGUUGUUUAUUGGAAGAUUGAUGAUGUGUGGUGUUGAUGGAAAAAGUUAUCUGUACUUGACUUUGACUUAUUAAUAAAUCGGUUCUCUGCUAAAGAUAGUAACAAUUGUGUCAAAUUUUUACAAGAAUUUAUGACAGUACACAUUGUUCUGAUUUUUUCCAUUGAGCGUUGCCAAAAACAAUAUCCAAUUGAAUAGUAGGGAGUUCUUUGGUCAAUGAAUUGAGUACAGAAAAUUAGGGAGUUCUUUGGUCACUGUGGACUACAAAUUGGAAACAUUUGGUACUUCAGGUCUAAGAUUUCAAUAGUUUUAGAUAUAGCUUGAGGCCCAAUAUUGAAACAUUGAAAUCUUCAGUGAUCAUUAACUUACAAGGUCUGAUAGGAUUCAGUUCAAAAAGGGUCAUAUUAACAAAGGAAGUUUGGAAACUGACACCUGCAUUUCAAUAUCAAAAUGUAUGUCUAAAGUUUAGAUGAAUAUUAAAUACUUUCGAUUUUGAGUCUUAGCUGCUUGCAUUAUAAUACACGCUCAUUGCAUCCCUUUUUUGUACGUUUUGAUUUAGAUUUAUGCUGCUAUUGGAAAUGUUGGUGGAAGGGAGUUAGCUGUCAUCUUUUUAGUUCUUAUAUUUAUUUAGAACUACUCAGAAGGAUCUGUUUCAGAUGGAAGCAAUAGCUGAUAUUGUUGAUUAUUCAUGAGGGGUAAAAUACUCUUAACAUGUUUACUUAUCGUUUACUAUUUAUUUCAUUUACUGUUUGAAAAUGCUAGAUAUGUUUCUUCCACUGAAAAGUUCUCUGUGACCAGGAGACUACCAAAGGUUGCAGGAAAGUCUACAAUUGAACAUCAAGUUUGGAUAAUGAGUUUCUGAUAAUUUUGAAAUAUAUGUGAGAGCAUUAUAACUUUCAACAACAUUUAAACACUUUAAGACCAUUACUGGUUUUCAUAAAUGUGUUGUGGAGCUAUUCAAAAUAAUGAAGGACAAUAUUGAGCUUGCAGUUUUUGCAGAAGAAUUUUAAUGGGAAAUAUAUAUCAGUGUUGUCAAUGCGUAGGAAACUAUCAUUAAAGCUUUGAAUGGUGUUGAUCAUCCAUCUUUAACAAGUCUCUUCUAUUUACUUUGGCAGCAUUGAAACCCUCCAAUGCUGGUAUCAGGCCUACUUAAUUGUUUGUUCAGUUUCAACUGUUUAAGGAACAUGAGCAUAUGAGCUGACAAAUCAAUUGAUCUAUUUCAGAAAAAGUUUCUGUGUUUUGACAAAUGAAAUGAUUCAGCUAAUAUACUGUAGAGUAUUUGCAAAAGAAUUGUUCAAUGGGGAAUAUAUCAGCUUGGUUGAUGCUUUGGGAACUAAGCAUAAAGCUUUUAAUGGUGUUAAUUAUCCGUCUGUACCAAGCCCUUUAUUUACUUCGGUAACAUUGGAGGAAUAUGAUUUCAGUAUCAAGUCUAUGCAAUAGUUUGUUCAAUUUGAUUCAACUGUUUAAAGGAUGAGCUUAUGAGCUUACGGGUCCAUUGAACAGUUAGCUUAUGAGCUUUUUUAUAUAUUCACGUUUGUCCCAAUCUGAUAUUUGUGGCCAUUUGUACAUGGUUCAGAAUAAUAUUCUUCCUCGGGAAUCUUUGUAGAGUAUUCAAGGCAGCGAGAACUAAGUCACCCAUAACAAUCAAAACACAAAUUAGUAGACAAUUGAGAGGUAAUUGAGAGCUACUACUUAAUAUAACUUACUUUCUCAUUGCAGAGGAGAAGAGAGCAAAAGGGCUUCCAAGUGAGUGUUGCUUAUAUCUAUAUCUAUACAUUUGUUUACUAUUUCAGAACUUAUUUAUGUUUCGCUGGUGUGGUUCAAAUGAAACCUCUGACAAAAAUAUAUUCUUUACUUUGCAGAGGACAAGGAAGUAAAGGGACCUCAAAGUAAGUUUAGCAUUUCUAUUUCAAAACUUAUUUAUGUUGCGAUGGUGCCCUUUGAAUGGAAUGAUCUAUGAUCAUCUUCUGAUGUUUAUCAAUUGACAACGAUUAGUAGCAGUUUCAUUUACAAUCAAAUCGAAUUUCUGUCUAAAAUAUGUUUUUCAAUUUGCAGAGGAGAAGGAAGCAAAUGGACACCAAAGUAAGUGUUCAUUAUAUCCAUAUCAGUGCAUUUGUUUUCUCUAAAAAUUUAUUUAUGUUGCAGUAGUAUGUCUUGCAUUGGUUUUGUUUAUCUUUUAACAACUUUAUCAAUAUUCAAUGCUUCAAUUUAAAUGUUUAUGUACUAGACGUCAACCAAACAAAGCUAAGUCCAAGACAAAGGAGGACUAAGGUUUCUGUGCUUAUAUAUAUGCUCGCUCCCCAGCAAUAGUUUUUUUGAUGCUAAGUUGCUAACAGGUUAGACGUACAUGGUUCUAACUACAGAUCGACUAUUGUUUUGACUAGCAAUGGGAAGCGUUUUGCUGUGCAGAAUGAUAUAAUAACACAUGACUUAUUUUUUGUGCUCUCAGUUAUUUUGGUGUGUAUGACAGUGUUGUCUACAGAGAGAGCAAUGUACUGUAUAAUACUACAAUGUGAUGUUUUUGUUUGAUAAGUCAUGUGUAUUGUAGACGCUAAGUUAAUGGAUUUUUUGUAAUCUAACAUUUUCAUUUUUCACCAUAUCUCCAUGUAAUAGUGUGUGUGUGUGUGUUUACUAUGCAAUAUCUCCAUUAUAUUGCUACAUUCAUUGGCAUACCAAACAACAUAAAAAUUUAUCCAAACAAAAACAAUUCCGGUGAUUAAUAUCAGUCAUUGCAAACCGUGGCAUCGCGUGGGCAUCAUCUAGUCUGGUUAUUAUUGCCAAUGCCAGCCGGGUUAUCAAGGGAACCCUUACCUCCCCGAUGCUUGCCAAGGUGAAAUAUGUAAAUAACAAUAUACAGUACAUGUGUAUGUGUGUCUCUGUGUGCACUUUUCAUUUGAUAUGUUUGAGGGUACAUGCGUGUUUGUGUCUGUGAUUCAGUUGCUGCAGCCGGAAAUUAAAGCUCCGGUUAUGGAUUAAGUUUACAUGUUUGUUAAUAACAAUGUGUUUUCCUGGGUUUUUCAGAUAUUGAUGAGUGCAAGGUUUCAAACCCCUGCACCAAUGGACUGUGUGAAAAUUCACCUGGAAGUUACUUACGCUUGUGUGACAAAGGGUACAGAAGCAAUGGAACGAAUAAUCAAAGCUGUAUUCAAGAGAUUCCCAACGACAAAAAUCAAACAAAGACGACGCUCCUGCUUAUUGUAUCAUUGAGUAUGUACUAUUUCUAUAAUAGCACGCUGCAUGCAUCAUCUGAUCAUAUAUAGCCUAAAGUCAAACGUAAACUUUUUUUGAACAAUAAUUAACCUGAUCAGCUAUAUUAGGACCCAAAAUGAAAUUCUCGUAUCUAAUAUUUAAAAUAUGCAUCAUUUACCUUCCUCAAAAAAUAAAAAAAAAUGCAUCAUAUACAAGUGAUUUGAAAUUAAAAAAAGAAAAUGAAAGAAUAUAUAUGCAUCAUAUACAAGUGAUUUGAAGAAGCUUUCACGGUUUCACCUACAAAUGUUAUCCCCUGCUUUUACGGUACCGACUUUUAAAAGCUUAGAAAGUUUGAUUGAUCUAAAUUAUUUCACUAAUAAUUUAGAAUCAAAUAAAAAUAACUAAAGAAUUUCAUCGAACUCACUAUAUAUGUGCAGGUGUAACUGGGGCCUUCUUGGUUCUGUUUGUUGGAAUUUCAUUGAUAUGUUGCAGAAUAAAGAAAACAAAAUUCAACAAACUGAAAGAAAAGUACUAUAAAGAAAAUGGUGGCUUAUUGUUACUACAGCAACUCGCUAACAAUGGAGGCUCAGUGGAGACAACAAAAAUCUUCACCACAGAAGAACUAGAGAACGCAACAAACAAUUACCAUGAGAGUGGAGUCCUUGGAGAAGGAGGCUACGGAACAGUUUAUAAAGGAGUACUAAAUUAAAGGACAACAAAGUGGUUGCCAUAAAGAAGUCAAAAGGAGGUACCUAGUUAAAUAGGGUCGGAAAUACAUUAUAAACGUAAUACUUUAUGUUCUUAUCAUUAUCCUUUCGCAAAUCAACCACAAAAACGUGGCAAAACUAUUAGGUUGUUGUUUAGAAACAGAAGUGCCUUUACUAGUAUAUGAGUUCAUCACCCAGGGGACUCUCUUUGAGCACAUUCAUAAAAGAAGAUCACCUCUCCCUUUUGAAUUACGAAUGAAGAUAGCAACUCAAAGCGCAGAAGCACUGUCUCACUUACACUCCUCAAUUUCCACACUGAUAAUACAUCGAGAUGUGAAAACGGCAAAUACUCUGUUAGCUGAUGAUUACGCGGCGAAAGUGUCAGAUUUCGGAGCUUCCCGUUUGGUUCCUUCAGGUCCAACUGAUAUGCAAACUUUGGCAGUGCCCGGAACAUUUGGAUACCUAGACCCUGAAUAUCUGCAAUUAAACCAACUAACAGAAAAGAGUGACGUUUACAGCUUUGGAGUUAUCCUAGUGGAAAUAAUAACAAGCAAAGUGCCACUUUCUAAAGGGAAAAGCUUAGCAAGCAUCUUUAUUGUUUCCAUCAAAGAAGAUAGGUUGGAUCAAAUUCUUGACGAUGACAUAGUGAAUGAGGGAAACAUUGAGACGGUAAAGAAUGUUGUCAAUCUCGCAAAACGGUGCUUGAGGGUGAAUGGGGAGGGAAGGCCUACCAUGAAAGAAGUUGUCAAAGAGUUAGAGGAAAUGAGUGUCACGGCAAAACAUCCCUGGGAAUUUAAUGCUAGUUUUUGCGGAGAAGAGACUGAGUACUUGCUUGGAUCACUUAAUACAGAUGAUUCCGUGGUACGACCAAUGCAUCUGACAGCAUGCAAAACCAACUGCAGUUGAUGCCCUAUGGCGGUGGACGUUAGUUGAUUGGUGUCGCUUGUAAUGUUUUCUUAAUCCUGUAUGUACGUAUUUUUUAGUAUUGUUGUUUCUGUCUGAAUGUCUGAUAAGUGCGUUAGAAAUAAAAGUGUAUUUUCGCAUUUUGUAAUUGUUGUAUGCAUGUAAGGAAACAAGUGUGGUCUUAGUCUUACAGUACACUUACCGGUGUUUUUUUCCAGGUAUUGUGAUUGAUGCAACUUAGCAAGCAACCGGUUUUCCUUGAACCAUAUAUGUGGUUAAUUAAAGGCCUUUGCCUUUCACACGAGUUGGUGGUGCUUGAAAGUUGGUAUGUGAUGGUCAGCACAUCAAUGGGAAACCUUAAUUUUUGGUUCUAGCCUCACCUAAUCAUCGUUCAUCAAAGUUACAUGAACCCUAACAAUAACACGGUUGAUAUAUACCAGCUUGGUCAACUUGAAGCAUGAGUCCGAUUGUUUUCCCAACUAGCCUUUUGUGAGUGUCACCAAAAUGAUCUAUGAUUUUGGAAAAUUCUAGUAUACAAAUUUGCAUAUAUAUCAUACAAACUAAGUAUGUGGCUAUCAUUGCUUGUAAAUAUAGUAAUAUGACAAUUUUAUCCUCCUCAAAAUACUUCUUGUAUGUCCUUACAUAGAAGUGAGUGGACCACUUUUUGAGUUUGUAUACCAUACACAUCUGUAUAGUAGACAAACCCAUGAUUUUCACCCAAAUCAAAACAAAAAUCGGAAUGCAUAAUAAUAAAGAAUUAGUCAUAGUCAUUUAGGAGAAUCAUAUAUAGCUCUCUGAAAACCCCAGAGAUCAUUUUCUUGACACGAAUUACAUCUCGUUCAAUGGUGAAUGUAAAGAGGAAGCAGUCAUGUACCACGAGCUUGAACUUCUAGAAGAGAAGGGACGCGCCACAUAGAGGGCAUGGCGCUCUUGAAGGAGUCGAAGGCCACCGCUCUGAACCAAGGAGCCACUCACGAUAUUUAACCUAUUUUUUAGUACCUUGUAGGUGUAAAUAUGGAGAUUGAAACUUUUCAUGAAUGCUAACAAUUUUCUUAGAUUUAAAGAAAUAUAAUCUCGAACCUUCCUAGCUCGAAGUACCAAGUCAACAGUUAAGGAUACAUGUAUAUGCAAACUAGGUAGAUAAGUACUACACUAGUUGAAUCUGCAUGCUCACUAGUUUUCGCUUGGAAAAUUUCCACAAGUCAUGUCAUGUUCACAAUGCAAAUUAGAAAAUUUCCUCCAGUCAUGUCAUCUUCACACUGCUAAUUAGAAAAUUUCCACCAGUCAUCUUCGUAUUGCAAAAGGAAAUUCUUUAAUUCCAUUUAGAUCUACUUGUGACCUGGACGACUUCAUCUUAUCGUCUAGAAAUUGACAUAAACUAAUAAACGAAACAAGUUCCUAUUUACAACUACCACCUCAACUUGUCACCAUGAUCAUCAACCAAAACGGAACACGAAUUGUCAUAUUGACAUAGCAUAGAAUAAUUAGUUAGUAGCACAAAAUUAUCGAUGGAAAUGGUGGUUGUGCCCCGUCAGUCCGUUAAUUUAUAGUGAUGGGGUGAAAAAAUAAAUAAAUCAAAAGCCAUUCUAAACACAAGGACCAAAAAUAAUUUUUGCCACCUGAUCAGUAAACAAAUCAAGUAUAGCUAGGCAGAAGGGGUCCUGGCUUGGCAAAGGCACAUCAAGCUUUCGUUUUCUUGAAACCGAUUGAUCUCAUAACUUGUGCUUGACUAUGAGAUAACAUCUCUUCUGUAUUACCUGCUUGCAUCUAAACUAAAAUAUCAAGUUUUUGGGCUUACCAAGUAGCUUCGGGAAAUAAGAGAGACGACCAAGACAUUUUGAUUUGCUCACAACCUCUUCCUUCUAUUCGUCUACAAAAGCGAGCUUGCAAACACAACUUCACUCAGAAGAAAUACAGUUUAUACAUUUAUACCUCUCAGUUGAAGUACUGAGUUAAUUGGUGCAUGCAGGUUACUAAUUAACUAAGUAUGCAAUUCAUAUUGGUGGUGGUACUGGUUCUCCUCGCAUUUACGGCCGCAGGCAAAGAAGCAGAAGCAGCUGAAGCCCUCCCGCCUCAAGCGCUUCAUGGCUGCUCUGACAAGUGCGGUGAUCUCACAGUUCCAUAUCCAUUUGGCAUGGAGGAGGGUUGUUACCUGGGAGAUGAAUUCUUUAUUUAUUGCAACCGUUCGACCCAAUCAGCAUAUUUGAUGGGCAGCAGCAGCAGUAUCAUUGUUACUAACAUUUCCCUAGAGGUUGGGGAGAUGCAAAUAUCGAAGCGAAUAGGGCGAGAUUGUUACGAUAAAGAGGGAAACCGAAACUACAACAUAAGCACAGCAGGAAAGUUCACAUUGGUACCUCCAUACACUAUAUCUGAUGCCCAAAACAAGUUCUACGCCGUUGGUUGUGACACUAUUGCAGCCAUGGGCAGCUUCCGAGGGGAAAAAGAAGUCAUUACUGGGUGCAUUUCAGUAUGCAACAGCCUCAGCAGUGUUAAUAAGAACUCUUGCUCUGGCAUUGGGUGUUGCCAGGUUAACAUCCCCAGUGGACUGAUCGAUCUCACUUUCGAGUUGAGAAGCUUCUACAAUCAUACGAAUGUAUCUGAGUUUAACCCCUGCAGCUACGCCUUCAUUGCAGAGCAAGACCGGUUCAAUUUUAACUCUUCUAGUUUUGAACAACUGAAAGGCAUUGAACGGCUUCCAAUGGUUCUUAAUUGGGCCAUUGUGAAUGACACAGAUCCCUGCGAUGAGGCUCAGAACAGGAAGGGUUCCGCAUGCAAGGCUAAUAGCAAGUGCUUCAACCCAGCUAUCAAUGAGUCUGUAGGUUACUUGUGCCAGUGCUUGCCUGGUUAUGAAGGAAACCCGUACCACCCAGAUGGUUGCAAAGGUGAAAAAUUAUCUUUGAUUUACCUAUUCAGCUACUAUUAUAUCAAUAUAAAUUAAUUAAAGCUCUCACCAUUGGAAGUGCAAGUUUACCAAAUUUAGUGAUGUCUGAUACGCUUUUCCUUUCCUAAUUUCCCUUUCAGAUAUUGAUGAGUGCAAAGACCCAAACCUCUGCCAGAACGGACAAUGCUUGAAUGAGUGAAUCUGCCACCUCCACAAAAUUACACUUGUUCAUCAUGUCACAAAGGAUACAAACACGACGGCACCAAUGACAAGAGUUGCAUCAAAGACGAUUCCGAAAGACGCUCAAAGAUCGUUCUCCUGCUUGAAAUUUCAUUGGGUAUGUAGAAUUAGAUAUUAACAUGCAUGUGCAUCCUAUGACCACCCUAAACUUCUAUUGAACAGUAUUGACGGACUGAAAUUUAUUUAGCUUCAGCUAUACUUUCGUUCCAAAUUCUAAUUUCGCUUAACCUAGUAAUACUCAUACUUUUUCUUCUAAAAGAAGUGAUGAAAAGAGAAUGCGUACGUAAGUCAUUCCCAUUUUAUAAAGGAAAACUUUUAAUUCUUAUAAGAAAAAAAGUUUAAUUUCUCUGAUGUGUAAAAAAAAGACGACGCUCUUCCUUAUUGUAUCAUUGAGUACGUGCUAUUUCUAUAAUAGCACGCUGCAUGCAUCAUCUGAUCAAAACCUGAUCAGCUAUGUUCGGACCCAAACUGAAAUUCUCAUAUCUACUAUUUAAAAUGAAGAACUUAAAAAAGAAAAAGAAAGAAUAUCCAUCAUAUACAUGUGAUUUGAAGAAGCUUUCACGGUUUCACCUACAUAUGUUUUCCCCUGUUUUUAUGGUACUGACUUUUAAUAGCCUAGAAAGUUUGAUUAAUCUAAAAAAAUUCACUAAUUAUUUAAAAUCAAACAAAAGUAACUAAAGAAUUUCAUCAAACUCCACUAUAACAAAUCUCCCUAGAGACAAUCAGAAAUAAAAUCAAUUUUGCCUCAAUUGAUUGUUGGUAUAUAUGUGCAGGUGUAACUGGGGGCUUCUUUGUUCUGUUUGUUGGAAUUUCAUGGAUAUGUUGCAGAAUACGGAAAACAAAAUUCAAGAAACAGAAAGAAAAGUACUUUAAAGAAAAUGGUGGCUUAUUGUUACUACAACAACUCGCUAACCAUGGAGGCUCAGUGGAGACAACAAAAGUCUUCACCGAAGAAGAACUAGAGAAUGCAACAAACAAUUACCAUGAGAGUGGAGUCCUUGGAGAAGGAGGCUACGGAACAGUUCAUAAAGGAGUACUAAAGGACAACAAAGUGGUUGCCAUAAAGAAGUCAAAAGGAGGUACCUCGACCCAGAGCGAACAGUUUGUUAACGAGGUGAUUGUUCUUUCUCAAAUCAACCACAGAAAUGUGGUGAAGCUACUAGGUUGUUGUUUGGAGACAGCAGUGCCUUUACUGGUAUACGAAUUUGCACUCUAUACGAGCACAUUCAUAAAAGAAGAUCAUCACUGUCAUUUGAACAGCGAAUGAAGAUAGCUGUUGAAACAGCAGGAGCACUAGCAUACUUACACUCCUCCACAUCAAUGCCAAUCAUACAUCGAGACGUGAAAGCAGCAAAUAUACUCUUGGAUGAUAAUUAUACAGCCAAAGUGUCGGACUUCGGAGCUUCACGGUUGGUUCCUCUAGGUCAAACCGAAAUACAAACUUUGGUGCUCGGGACGUUUGGAUACCUAGACCCAGAAUAUUUGCAGUCGAACCAACUAACAGAAAAAAGUGAUGUCUACAGCUUUGGAGUUGUCCUAGUGGAGCUACUUACAAGCAAAGUGGCAGUUUCUAAUGAUAGAUGCUUAACAAGCAUCUUUAUUUCUUGCAUGGAUGAAGAUCGCUUAAAAGAAAUUCUUGACGAUGCCAUACUGAAUGAGGGAAACAUUGAGACAGCAGUAAACGUGGCCAAUCUCGCAAAAAGAUGUUUGAGGUUAAAAGGGGAGGAAAGGCCUACCAUGAAAGAAGUUGCCAUGGAGCUAGAGGGAAUGGCAAUUAUGGCAAAGCAUCCGUGGGGAAAGAAUGCUAAAUUCUGUCCGGAGGAGAAUGAGUACCUGCUUGGUUCACCUACUUCAGACAGUUAUGACAUGGAUGCUAGAGGAGGUGAUCACAAUUCUAGUGGUUUAACCAUUGGUACGACUACUGUGUAUGACAGCAUGCAAAUCCAGAUGUUGAUUCCACAUGGUAAUGGACGAUAGUUAGUUGGCGUGUUCCUUAUGACUUAUAUACCAUGCAUUGUUGUAAUCCUUGUUUCAUUUUUAUUAGUGCCUUGUUAAAUAAGUGUAUGUAAGCAUACUAUUAAUUUGAUACGUGUAAAUUAAGUGUGGUCUUAUAUGUGUGUAUAUAUAUUAUACAAUCUGUUUCAGAUACGGACGUCCGCACCGCCUUAAAGUGCGGACAUCCCUCCUUUCGCCACCGUACGGCGCCGACGAGGGCGCGCCUCCACCCCAGCGAACUCCAGCAGCAUCCCCGACCAUUUUCCCUCCCCGGCGAGUCCGCCGAAUCCCAGUUUUCCUGCCAGAUCACCAAAAACUUCAAAAAAAAGUCAAUCUGGCCCGAAAAUUGGAAUUCGGCAGACUCGCCGGGGAUGGAAAGUGGUCAGGAAAGCUGCUGGAGUCCGCUGGGAUGGAGGCGCGCCCUCGCCGGUGCCGUACGGUGGCGAAAGGAGGGACGUCCGCACUUUAAGAGCCGUGCGGAUGUCCGCACCUGAUACUAGCUCCCUAAUAUAUUAUAUGUAUUUAUAUAUGAAGUGUUGUUUUGAAUUCUUUCCCUGAAUUUUGUACUCUAUGCAAUUUAUAAAGCAAUCAGGCAUAUAACAGUAUUCAUCGAUUCUAGAAAACAUUUUAUGCUUAAUUUCAAAACAUACAUCCAAAUCAAGGCUUUAGACUAUCAUCAUGAACAGGCGUAUUCCUCUGGAUUAAUUGGCUAAACAAAUUCUAGCAAUAGUGAGGACUUACAGAUAUCAAGUAAUAGCCAGUUGAACUGGGAGCACUUACUGGAAUCAGACAAGUAAGUUGGACCGCCCCCUUCAUCUAGAAGCUUUGCCUGGGGAAAUCUCAAACAGUAUAAGUGAGCGUGCCUGCAAACUGAAAAAGCAAUCCAUGUCAAAACAACAUCUUUUUAACAAUGAAGAUGAUAUGACAACAGAAGCCAUGCAAUUUACAGAUUUUAAAGCUUCCCCGUUCAAUCUAAUGAAGAUCAUUGUCAAAUAGAGCCCAACAGUGUUACAGUACAUCAGUGCUAGUGGUAUUUUAGGGUAUUAUAUGUUCACGACUUCACAGAAUAACUGUGAAGGAAAACUACAACCACCAGAGCUUAAGCCCCAAAGCAAACAAUAACGUUACACAUUUUCAGCCUAACCGGGACAAUAAACCUUAGCUGGUAAGAUCUAGUGAAGAAUUACUUGCUCAUUUAUUAAAAGUGUCUUCCCAAAACCAAAAAUAAUAAAAAAAGAAAAAAGAAAUCAUGUUACAGGCCUAAGCCACUCAAGGAAAGCUAAAGAACAACUUGACUAAGGGAUAAUUCGCGACUACUACAUAUACAACCAAGUGCAGUGAUAAUGCAACAUCUGAAAAUGCGAAAUGAAGUUACUCAUGUACAUGUCAUGAUGGGUACACAAUCUACGAUAAGAACAAUGAUCGUUGCGGCAAAAAUCUUGAUACUUCCAUACAAAUUACAGUGGGUAUGUAUUGAUAGCAAUGUGAUUUACAAUUUUAAAUAUGAGCUUCCGCACUAGCAUGUUAUUAUUUAUUAAAGACUGUAAUUCUGUAAACACAAUAUACAUAUCUGAUAAAAUUCAUAAAGAUAAUCCGUUGUGAUUUUUCAAUUGUAUGCAGGUAUCAUUUUCAGCUUCUUGGUAAUGCUGGUUGGAAUUUCAUGGAUGUAUUGGGUAAUGAAGAAAAGGAAGUUCAUCAAAUUCAAGGAGAAGUACUUCAAAGAAAAUGGUGGCUUACUGUUACAGCAACAACUUGCUACUCAGGUAAUGGAGGCAAUAAAAGUCUAUACAACAAAAGAACUUGAGCAGGCUACAAACAAUUACCACAAAAGUCAGAGUUCUCGGUGAAGGAGGCUACGGAACAGUUUACAAAGGAUUUAUUAUCAGAUAACAAAGAGGUCGCAAUUAAAAAGUCAGUUUGUAAAUGAGGUGAUUGUCCUUUCUCAGAUAAACCAUAGAGAUGUAGUGAGGCAAUAUAUUAGGUUGUUGUUUAGAGUUCAUUAGUCAUGGUACCCUUUUUGAACACAUUCAUAAGAAAAGAUCAACUCUUUUAUUGAGUUUUAAGAUAGCAGCAGAAACUGCAGGAGCACUAGCAUACUUACAUCAUUCAACUUUCCAUGCCCGGGAUGCGAAAACAAUGAGAAUAUACUGUUAGAUGAUAAGUAUAUUAAUGAAACACUUGAAUGUAUGGCUAAUCUUGCAAAAACAUGUUUAAAGUUUUACCGUGACAGAACGCGAAUUGCAGUGAAGCAUCCAUGGGGAGGUAAAACCAAUUGUCUUCCAGAGGAGACUGGAGCCACCUAAUUCAGAAGACGCCGCUAUUGGCCGGAGUCGGUAACCCAGCCGAUGCCGUAGAAACGGACGCCCUACUUUUAUGUGAUUCACGGCUUCCAUUUUGUGCAUUCAGAUAU
rnacentral:lncRNA from 1 species